rnacentral:rRNA from 1 species
AGAUUGAACGCUGGCGGCAUGCCUAACACAUGCAAGUCGAACGGGAGUAGCAAUACUCUAGUGGCGGACGGGUGAGGAAUACGUAGGAAUUUGCCCUUAAGUGGGGGAUAACCCGGGGAAACCCGGAUUAAUACCGCAUGACCUCGAAAGAGCAAAGUGGGGGAUCGCAAGACCUCACGCUUUUGGAGAAGCCUACGUCGGAUUAGCUAGUUGGUGAGGUAAUGGCUCACCAAGGCGACGAUCCGUAACUGGUCUGAGAGGAUGAUCAGUCACACCGGAACUGAGACACGGUCCGGACUCCUACGGGAGGCAGCGAGUGGGGAAU